rnacentral:rRNA from 1 species
UCAAGCGUUGUUCGGAUUCAUUGGGCGUAAAGGGUGCGUAGGUGGCGGGGUAAUUCAGGUGUGAAAUCUCGAGGCUCAACCUCGAAACUGCACUUGAUACUGCCUUGCUUGAGUACUGGAGAGGAGAUUGGAAUUUACGGUGUAGCAGUGAAAUGCGUAGAUAUCGUAAGGAAGACCAGUGGCGAAGGCGAAUAUCAGGACAGUUACUGACACUGAGGCACGAAGGCCAGGGGAGCAAACGGG